rnacentral:lncRNA from 1 species
AUUUACUGUUAUUUUAACUGUUUAAUCAGAUUUAUUUGCCAGUACCCUCAGCAUUGGAAUUGGAAUUAACUAUGGCCAAAUUGCCAAUAAUUUGCCAACACCGUCGCGAGUUUCCUAUCUCCUUAGAUCUAUCAAUGUUACGAGAGUAAAACUUUAUGACGCUGAUCCAAACGUCUUAAGCGCAUUUGCUAACACGGAUGUGGAAUUUGUUAUUGGACUUGGGAAUGAGUACCUACAAAGAAUGACUGAUCCUCAACAAGCUCAGGCUUGGAUUCAAUCGCAUGUUCAACCUUACCAUACUCAGACUAAAAUCACUUGUAUUACUGUUGGGAACGAGAUCUUAACGGGGAACGAUACACAGAUGAUGAAUCCAACACUAAAAUCACUUGUAUUACUGUUGGGAACGAGAUCUUAACGGGGAACGAUACACAGAUGAUGAAUAACCUCCUCCCGGCAAUGCAAGGUGUAUAUCGGGCUCUAGUUAAUCUUGGCCUUAGCAAUGAUAUAUAUGUGGCACACGCCCACUCGGCUGGGAUCUUGGGCAACUCUUUUCCGCCUUCCUCUGGUUCAUUUCGACAAGAUCUUGCUGAAUACAUUCAUGGCAUUCUCAAUUUCCAUGCCCAGACCAAGUCACCGUUCCUUAUAAAUGCCUAUCCAUUCUUUGCAUACAAAGACUCCCCCGAUCAAGUCCCGCUUGAUUAUGUACUUUUCCGGCCUAAUGCCGGUACACUUGACCCAAUCA